GAUGAACGCUAGCGGCAGGCUUAAUACAUGCAAGUUGAGGGGCAGCAUGAUAUACGCGAGUAUAUUGAUGGCGACCGGCGGACGGGUGAGUAAUAGGUAGGAGACCUACCUCAUACAGGGGGAUAGCAUAGAGAAAUCUGUGGUAAUACCCCAUGAGGUUAUAUGAAUAGAGGCAUAUAAUCAAAGCAUAAGCGAUUAUGCGGUAUGAGAGGGGCCUACUGACCAUUAGCUAGUUGGUGAGGUAAGGGCUCACCAAGGCGAAGAUGGUUAGGGGUUUUGAGGAGAGAGACCCCCCACAUUGGAACUGAGAGACGGUCCAGACUCCUACGGGAGGCAGCAGUAGGGAAUAUUGGGCAAUGGGCGAAAGCCUGACCCAGCCAUGCCGCGUGAAGGAGACGGCCUUAUGGGUUGUAAACUUCUUUACUACGCGAAUAGAGGUUAGUACGAGAUACUAAUAGGAAGGUAGUGUAGUAAAAAGCACCGGCUAACUCCGU
rnacentral:rRNA from 1 species